rnacentral:lncRNA from 1 species
GACAUACUAGGCGACAUACAUUUUACUGAAACGACAACAGAUGAUGCGACGGCGGUUGCGAUUAUCGGAGGAAUUCCCCAGUAGUUGUGGCGUUAUUGAGCAAUAAAAAACCGUGAUGUACAGUCUACACUAUUACGGGGUCAAAUUAAUUUGAAAUAGAUUAUACAGCUCCUGCAGGAGUUAAAGGUCAAGAAGCCGCUUUCCAUUUUCCUGAAGUAACAGCGGUUUCAACGAAAGUGGCAGAACUUCUUCUGGUAGAGGAAUAGAAGCAGACGGAAUUGCCCCAUUAAAAGAUGAAAAAGUACUGCAUCCAGUGAAAACAUAUGACGGGAAAAGAAGAAUUGUUUCAACUGCAGAAAGUACACU